AGAGUUUGAUCCUGGCUCAGAUUGAACGCUGGCGGCAUGCCUUACACAUGCAAGUCGAACGGCAGCACGGGAGCAAUCCUGGUGGCGAGUGGCGAACGGGUGAGUAAUAUAUCGGAACGUGCCCAGUCGUGGGGGAUAACGUAGAGAAAUUUACGCUAAUACCGCAUACGAUCUAAGGAUGAAAGCGGGGGACUCGCAAGGGCCUCGCGCUCAACAUCGGCUGAUAUCAGAUUAGGUUGUUGGUGAGGUAAAAGCUCACCAAGCCGACGAUCUGUAGCUGGUUUGAGAGAACGACCAGCCACACUGGGACUGAGACACGGCCCAGACUCCUACGGGAGGCAGCAGUGGGGAAUUUUGGACAAUGGGCGAAAGCCUGAUCCAGCAAUGCCGCGUGCAGGAAGAAGGCCUUCGGGUUGUAAACUGCUUUUGUACGGAACGAAAAGGUCUGC
rnacentral:rRNA from 1 species